GUCGAUACAACCACAACCCGAGCUGCA
rnacentral:sRNA from 1 species